GGUUUGGGGGAUGCUGAUGAUCUUGAAGAUGCUUCAGACUGGGACUCUGCCAGCACCACCAGUAAGGCCAGUAAGAAAUUCCCAGUUCAUAAGCUGGAUGAGGAACCCGUCUUUGAAAGCCCAGCAGCUUCCGCACUACCCAUAACAUCCGAGGAACAGGACGUGGACACCAGAGAACAUAAAGAAGCCAGUCCAGAGAGAAACAAACCCACAACCUCAAGCACAACACCUCUACCUAGUCCACGAUCUCUCAACCCAAACGCCAGCUCAAAACCACAACCACUGCCACUGCCACGACUGCGCUUGGACUCCAAUCAGAGGCCGGAGAGUGAAGAAUCGGACUGGGAUUUGGAAACUUCCAGUCCAGCCAAGAUGACAAAUUCACUGCCAAACGUCGCUGAGCCUGAUGCAGUUCAUCGGCAGGAACCCAAAGCUGAAGAUGUCGAGAGUGAAGACAGUUCUUACGCAAGUGAAGAUGCAGAUCAGGCAAGAGAGGCAUUACAAGCGUCUUCUGUAGACAUAAAUAGGCCGUCUAACCUUGAACCACUGGAGCGCCCAACCUCUCCUAGAGAGGACGAACAAGAGGAGAAAGCUGAUGAGAUUCCCUGGGAGGAACGCUAUGAGAAAAUAUGGGUGGAGAACGACAAAAAGGAGACCAAGUCCCAAUACAAAAACGUGGCUGCUGAACUAAAAGAGAGGUUCGGAGAACUGGAGCACAAAGAACCACUGAGUGACCUUUCGAAACAGGAGUGGAAAGAAGAUGAAGAGGAAAAGAAAGAGCUGGAAAAGGAAGCAGAGGACGAAGAUUCCAGUGAGGAAGAGGGAGAGUCAAUAGUGCGGCCCAUCGCCCUGGCGAGAAGUGCCAUACUUUUGCCCAUCCCAGAGCAGAGAGAGUCCGGCCUGGAGGACUCGCAGUCUGAAAGUGUCCACCGCACGGUUAGUGUUGAGGUCAGCGAUGCAGAGCUUCCCAGUGACCAACACAACCCUCAAAUCAUCCCAGAAGCCCUAACGGAUGAGGCCCAGGAGCCAGAGAACCGAACAGAUAACACUGAGGAACCUGAGAGUGGAAGCAAAGAUAAGUGUCCACUAGAAUCUGCAAGCGACAAAGAACCUGAAGAACUUCACAGACCUUCAUUGCUUGUUGAGAAUGAGCUACAAGUCCCACCCAAAGUUCUAGAAGUGCUCUCUUCUGACUCCAACGAGGUUGAU
rnacentral:lncRNA from 1 species